AAUCUUGACAUCCUUUGACCACUCUAGAGAUAGAGCUUUCCCCUUCGGGGGACAAAGUGACAGGUGGUGCAUGGUUGUCGUCAGCUCGUGUCGUGAGAUGUUGGGUUAAGUCCCGCAACGAGCGCAACCCUUAAACUUAGUUGCCAUCAUUAAGUUGGGCACUCUACGUCGACUGCCGGUGACAAACCGGAGGAAGGUGGGGAUGACGUCAAAUCAUCAUGCCCCUUAUGAUUUGGGCUACACACGUGCUACAAUGGACAAUACAAAGGGCAGCUAAACCGCGAGGUCAUGCAAAUCCCAUAAAGUUGUUCUCAGUUCGGAUUGUAGUCUGCAACUCGACUACAUGA
rnacentral:rRNA from 1 species